UGCUAAGAAACCCCUUAUAAAUAAACAAACCAUUCGAGAAAGUUUUCAAACAGUUCUAUAAAAUUAUUCUAAAGAAAUCUAGAGAUAAAUGCAAAAUUUGAGGACAAAAAAUAUGCUUUUGGCGAGCAGAGAAAAAAUAUUGCUGCCAAAAAAACGAAAUCAAAUGAGAAGAUGGAUUGAUAACCAAGAUCACUUGAUUGUGGAAGCCGUACAAGGCACCGCAAGCUAUCCGUCGGGGGCUGGUCGUGACUGAAACUUUUUCAACCUAUGAAUAUAACUGCCCGGCCCUCGUUCAACGACUAGUUUCAAACUACAAAUAGAUGCCCAAGUUUGCAACGCUAGGCGGAAAUGAUAUUAUUGAAUACGACGAAGGAAGAUGCUUUCAAAAUACGCUUGGAACACAAUUUGGCUACUUUUGUACGAAACAUUCCAAUCAGUGAUCGUCUCCAGAACGUGCUAAUUAUCCUCCACCAGAACCAGGUUCAACAGUUGAUCAUGAACUGGAAUAAAUUUUAAAUUUGGAAGAUAUUUUCAUCUAUCAAGUAAAUGUUACAAAGUUCUUUUUUGUUUUUGCGCCGACCGGAAUUGGGUUCUGUAUAAAAGUGUAUUCGUACCUGCAUGUCAAGUACGACUUUGAAAUGGAUUAAAUAUAAAGUUCAAAUAUUUAAAUAUCGUUGCACGGCUGAAAACGAAUUUCUUGCUCCUUGUAGAAUAGUACUGAUAUACCGGUUUGACUCAGCUUUAUCAUUUAUAUUUCAAUACUGAAUUUUGAUGAUUUAACUGAUAAAAUGUUUCGCACAGACGAAUUUAAUGACUGCAAACUUCGCUACUUUUUUAAAACUUAUUUAACCAAUACAAAAGAUUUUGAUUACAUGCGGCUGGCCUUAUAUGCAAUUUUUCGUAUGUUUGACUCCCAGCCAGCAUUAACGAAAGCCUCUAUCUGAUUGAACCAAUCGAUCCACUACUCUGACACGUGAUGAUGCUGGAGAACUUACAUCUUUUCGUGGAAUAAGGAUCUUCCAAUCGAUGCUGUUUGUUUUGUUUA